rnacentral:rRNA from 1 species
CCUACGGGAGGCAGCAGUGAGGAAUAUUGGUCAAUGGUCGGGAGCCUGAACCAGCCAAGCCGCGUGAGGGAGGACGGUCCUGCGUAUCGUAAACCUCUUUUGUCAGGGAACAAAGGCGGGGACGUGUCCCCGGUUGAAUGUACCUGAAGAAAAAGCAUCGGCUAACUCCGUGCCAGCAGCCGCGGUAAUACGGAGGAUUCGAGCGUUAUCCGGAUUUAUUGGGUUUAAAGGGUGCGUAGGUGGGUUGUUAAGUCAGCGGUGAAAGUCCGGGGCUCAACCCCCGAACCGCCAUUGAAACUGGCAGUCUCGAGUUGAGGUGAGGUAGGCGGAAUGCGCGGUGUAGCGGUGAAAUGCAUAGAUAUCACGAAGAACUCCGAUUGCGAAGGCAGCAUGCCAGCUCCCCACUGACGCUGAGGCACGAAAGCGUGGGUAUCGAACAGGAUUAGAUACCCCAGUAGUC